UACGGAGGGUGCAAGCGUUAUCCGGAUUCACUGGGUUUAAAGGGUGCGUAGGUGGCCUGCUAAGUCACACGUGAAAUCCCUCAGCUUAACUGGGGAACUGCGUGUGAUACUGGCGAGCUUGAGUGCAGGAGAGGAACGCGGAAUUCCAGGUGUAGCGGUGAAAUGCGUAGAUAUCUGGAGGAACACCGGUGGCGAAGGCGGCGUUCUGGACUGCAACUGACACUGAUGAACGAAAGCCAGGGGAGCAAACGGG
rnacentral:rRNA from 1 species